CACACCCGCGGGCAGGCGCACGCACGCGCCCUCCUGGCCGGCUCGCUACGCUGGAGACGGGGACGCCGUGGCGGGGAGCGCAGGGCCGCGCGCCCGAGAAGUGGUGAGUCCCGCCCGCACCGCCGAGCGGACUGGGAGGCAGAUCCUGCCCCUGAACCUUGAGACGCCCGCCCGGAGCCCCGCCGACACCUCGACGCGCCUGUGACAAAGCCUGAAGCCCAGGAUCCGGCCGCCGCGCCUGUACCCCGACCCGCAGAAACUUGCUCUACCAAGAGGUGGCGUAACCUCGCGAGGAAGCCAGACGAGACGGAUUCAGACCCAUCUCUGCGGUUACCACCUGUGUGACUUCAGGCAAUGAACAGAUCGAGCCCUGAGUUGUACUGUUACCAGUUCCCGUGGCGUAACGACUCCCGCCAUGGCCGAUUUCAGGCUGCGGACUAGAAGUCACUCCGCCCGGCCUUGGGGACAGACGUGCAGCGGCAGACAGGUACCGCGGGAACAUUCCUAACAGCGACACGUCCUUUCAGAAACGGAAAGCGAUGGGCUUUGAUUAAUUCCUCCCUUUGCAGCAUCAUUUAUUUGGUUACAAGCUCAUGAAAUUUAAUUUUUA